rnacentral:rRNA from 1 species
AACUUUCAGCAACGGAUCUCUUGGCUCUCGCAUCGAUGAAGAACGCAGCGAAAUGCGAUAAGUAAUGUGAAUUGCAGAAUUCAGUGAAUCAUCGAAUCUUUGAACGCACCUUGCGCCCCUUGGUAUUCCGAGGAGCAUGCCUGUUUGAGUGUCAUUA